rnacentral:rRNA from 1 species
CAGGCCUAACACAUGCAAGUCGAACGGUGAUGCGGAGUUUGCUCCGCGGAUCAGUGGCGAACGGGUGAGUAACACGUGAGUAACCUGCCCUUGACUCUGGGAUAAGCGUUGGAAACGACGUCUAAUACCGGAUAGGACUCCAUCGGGCAUCUGGUGGGGUGGAAAGAUUUUUCGGUCAUGGAUGGACUCGCGGCCUAUCAGCUUGUUGGUGGGGUGAUGGCCUACCAAGGCGACGACGGGUAGCCGGCCUGAGAGGGUGACCGGCCACACUGGGACUGAGACACGGCCCAGACUCCUACGGGAGGCAGCAGUGGGGAAUAUUGCACAAUGGGCGCAAGCCUGAUGCAGCAACGCCGCGUGAGGGAUGACGGCCUUCGGGUUGUAAACCGAUUUUAGCAGGGAAGAAGCGAGAGUGACGGGACCUGCAGAAAAAGCACCGGCUAACGACGUGCCAGCAGCCGCG